rnacentral:rRNA from 1 species
GAACGCUGGCGGCGUGCCUAAUACAUGCAAGUCGAACGGUCUUUCUAUGGAAGCUUGCUUCCGCUGAGAAGAUAGUGGCGAACGGGUGAGUAACACGUGGGUAACCUGCCCAUAAGAGGGGGAUAACAUCCGGAAGCGGGUGCUAAUACCGCAUAGUUUUCUUGAUCGCAUGAUCGGGAAAGAAAAGACGGCCUUUGUGCUGUCGCUUAUGGAUGGACCCGCGGCGCAUUAGUUAGUUGGUGAGGUAACGGCUCACCAAGACGAUGAUACGUAGCCGACCUGAGAGGGUGAUCGGCCACAUUGGGACUGAGACACGGCCCAAACUCCUACGGGAGGCAGCAGUAGGGAAUCUUCCGCAAUGGACGAAAGUCUGACGGAGCAACGCCGCGUGAGUGAAGAAAAGGUUUUCGGAUCGUAAAACUCUGUUGUCAGAGAAGAACAAGUUGGAGAGUAACUGCUCCAGCCUUGACGGUAUCUGACCAGAAAGCCACGGCUAACUACGUGCCAGCCGCCGC